GCAUGUCUAGUAUAAGCAAUUAUACCGCGAAACUGCGAAUGGCUCAUUAUAUAAGUUAUCGUUUAUUUGAUAGUACCUUACUACUUGGAUAACCGUGGUAAUUCUAGAGCUAAUACAUGCUAAAAAUCCCGACUUCGGAAGGGAUGUAUUUAUUAGAUUAAAAACCAAUGCCCUUCGGGGCUCACUGGUGAUUCAUGAUAACUCCUCGAAUCGCAUGGCCUUGUGCCGGCGAUGGUUCAUUCAAAUUUCUUCCCUAUCAACUUUCGAUGUUUGGGUAUUGGCCAAACAUGGUUGCAACGGGUAACGGAGGGUUAGGGCUCGACCCCGGAGAAGGAGCCUGAGAAACGGCUACUACAUCCAAGGAAGGCAGCAGGCGCGCAAAUUACCCAAUCCCGACACGGGGAGGUAGUGACAAUAAAUACUGAUACAGGGCUCUUUUGGGUCUUGUAAUUGGAAUGAGUACAAUUUAAAUCCCUUAACGAGGAACAAUUGGAGGGCAAGUCUGGUGCC
rnacentral:rRNA from 1 species